UACGAAGGGGGCUAGCGUUGUUCGGAAUUACUGGGCGUAAAGGGCUCGUAGGCGGCCAACUAAGUCGGACGUGAAAUCCCCUCGGCUUAACCGGGGAACUGCGUCCGAUACUGGAUGGCUUGAGUUCGGGAGAGGGAUGCGGAAUUCCAGGUGUAGCGGUGAAAUGCGUAGAUAUCUGGAGGAACACCGGUGGCGAAGGCGGCAUCCUGGACCGACACUGACGCUGAGGAGCGAAAGCCAGGGGAGCAAAGCGGGAUU
rnacentral:rRNA from 1 species